GAGGACGGCUGCUUCCGGCGCCAUAACUGCUGCCAUCUUUACGCUAUGGCUGCGUUCAGCCGUCAGGGAAAUUAAAGAGGGUGCUUUACUGUUGCCCCGAAAUUUUCACCAUGCGUCAGCAGGACAUUAAUGACACUGUCAGGCUUCUCAAGGAGAAGUGCCUUUUCACGGUACAGCAAGUCACCAAGAUUUUGCACAGUUGCCCCUCUGUUCUUCGAGAGGACCUGGGUCAACUGGAAUACAAGUUUCAGGUGAGAAUGACUGAUAGCCUGAUUAGCGUAGUUUCAGGUGAGAAUGACUGAUACCGUGAUUAGUGUAGUAAUAGCAAGUUUCUCAGGUUUUUCAAAUGUAGUAAAGGUCAGUUAUAUGGAUAAGAAGCCUCAGACACCUCAUAUUUGAGUGGAGGAAGUGAAAGACUAGAUUCUCUGCAUACAUCAGCCAAAGAGAAUUUGGUUCUGGUUCUUUAAUUUCUUUACUACAGAUCAAACCUAUUCUUCAACUUUUCUGCCAUUAAUAAUGAAUGAUCCAGUCCUAUUGUUAGA
rnacentral:sRNA from 1 species